AGGUCAGCCACCUGCAGCCAAGGAGAGAGGCCUCUGAGGAAACCAACCCUGCCAGCACUUUGAUCUUGAACUUCCAGCCUCCAGAACUGUGAGAAAGUAUAUUCCUGUUGUUUAAGCCACCCAGUCUAUGGCAUUUUGUUUUGGCAGCUUUAGCAGACUAAUAUACUUCCCCAUUCCCCCACAGUGCUUCCUGGGGUCAAUUCUCAGAUAAAUGAUUUGCACUUUAAUCCUUAUCUCAGGGGCCAGGUGGGAGGGGGCUCACGCCUGUAAUCCCAGCACUUUGGGAAGCCGAGGUGGGCAGAUCACCUGAGGUCAGGAGUUCAAGAGCAGCCUGACCAACAUAGUGAAACAUCGUCUCCACUAACUUUACAAAAUGUAGCUGGGUGGGGCGGCACAUUGCUGUAGUCCCAGCUACUCAGGAGGCUGAGGCAGGAGAAUCCCUUGAACCCGGGAGGUGGAGGUUGCAGUGAACUGAGAUCGUGCCACUGCACUACAGCCUGGGUGACAGAGUGACUUCGUCUAAAAAAAAAAAAAUUAUCUCAGGAAACCAACUCGCAGACCAACAACGCAUAUAUGGUGGGACAUAGACCCCAAGUAAGAGUGAAGCGAAGACUCAACUUUAACCACCACCCUCUAAGUUUCUUUUGAGGAGCUUGGAGAACGUCACUCCCUGUGGGUCUAAGUGGUACAGGCGCUAAAAAAUUAUUUAGGCAGAUAGUGAGGGUAAGGAAGUCCUCGGCUGUUUCCCUUUUAACAAAAAGCAGUCCCUAAAUCAUUUAUUUUCUAACAAAGAGCAGCCUGUAAAAUCGAGCUGCAGACAUAGAUAAGCAAGCUGGAAGCUUGCAUGGGUGAAUGCAGCAGCUGUGCCAAUAGGAAAAGGCUACGUGGCGGCCAGGCAUGUUCAACAUGGCGGCUCCAUCUUCCCUUUUCUUUGUCAACUAGGUGUACAGUAAGGAACCGACAACAUCACACCGGCCAGGUAGAGAAGCCAUUUGCAUAAUAGAAGAUUAGGGUGGGGUGGCCAGCUUCUUUGCGCGCUUUGUAAACAUCACACCUAGUCCACCAAUCUUUGGGCCCUAUGUAAAUUAGACAACACCUCCUCAAGCCAGUCUAUAAACCCUCCCCUCCCCGCACAUGCAUUUCACCGCAAAACCCAAAGACCCACUUAGGUGUCCCCUCUCUCCGCAGAAGAGAGAGCUUUUCCCUUUCUCUCUGUUAAACCUCUUCUCUUAAACUCACUUCUUGCGUGUCCUCGUCCUCGAUUUCCUUGGCGUAAGACGACGAACCUCAGGCAUUUACCCCAGACAACGAAGGUGCUUCAUAAGGUCAUGCAGCUGGGUCAACAUAGGACUGUGUAGCCAAGAGCUACAGGAUGGAUUGCUGAGGCCAGGGAGAUUGAAAGGAAGUCACAGCCCAAUCUCAGAGGGAUCCACGGAGCCAGCGAAAGCUAAGGCGGGACUUACCCAACAGAGGGUCCUGGCCCAGUCACCCAGUGGCACAACCCAACUGGGAGAUCUGAGCAUCUACCAACUGUGGCCACCAGUGAGAUGGUGUCAUUGUCUGGGAGGCCAGCAGAAGUCUCAGUGAUCGGGCAGGACAAAGGACAUUUCUGCAGAGAAUACUGAAGGUCCAGGAGACAGCACAGUGGGACAUAUGUGGGCCCCUGCCCCAUCAUUAGGAGGAAGUGUAGGCUUUUCUGAGGACCUGGAUGCCAUACCAUCUUGAGACAGAGAAUGAGGAACCAACCCUUGACAAGAGAGAGAUGGCCCUGGUAGAGAAUUUGAACCUUGAAUUGGAUUGAAUAUUUAUCCAAAAGAAAUUGAACCAGCACUAGAGAGACUGUUUUGAACUAGAAGUAACCAAGUUACCUUAACUGGAAGUUAGGAUUUUUCCACCCCUGACAUCAGUGGGACAAGGGCACAUGAGCAAGAUAUUUACGGACAAAGAAGAACGUUCAUGUUUUGUACACCUGCUUUGUAGUAUGUUGCAGAUACCGUUGGUUCCCCUGAUUUCAGGUGUUCUCGUUCUUUCUGUACAGUCACUUGCUCAGGGCAAAUGGUCCUCUCCUGCAUGACUCAGAAGCACAUACUGAUUAUUCUAAACUGGUCUUCAUGCCCCGUUCCCUUGUCAGUGAUGUAGUUAGGCAAAGGAUUAUGUAACAAUUCUGGCUAUGAGACAUUGAAACUUCUACUGUGGGGCAUCUGGGAAGAUUUUUCUCAUUGAAAAGAAGAGACGCAGGGUGUGGAGACUCAUGCCUGUAAUCCGAGCCCUUGGGAGGCCCAGGAGGGAGGGUCACCUGAGUCCAAGAGCUCAAGGCCAGUUCGAGCAACAUACCAAGGCUGCAAUAAACAAGCAAACAAACAAACAAACAUUAGCUGGGCACGGUAGUGCACACCUGUAGUCCCAGCUACUCAGGAGGCUGAAAUGGGAGGAUUGCUUGAGCCCAGGAGUUUGAGGCUGCAGUGAGCUAUGAUUGCACCACUGCACUUCAGCCUGGGCAACAGAGCGAGAUCCUGUCUCUAUAAAAAAAUUUUAAAAAAAGGAAGAAAAGAAAAGAAGAGACACACGUGGAAGAAACAGUCUCUAUUCUGAUGCAAGUAAUGACUGGAACUGUGGCAGACAGCUUGGAACCAUGAGAGGAGUUAACUGAGGGCUAUCAGGGAAACUAGAAGAAGCCUGGGUCCUUGAGGAGGCAGACUACUAAAUGGACCAUCGUCCCUUCACCCUUUUUGUUAUGUGAGAUAAUAAACUCUCUAAUUUAAAUCUACUUGAGAUGAAUAUCUGAUACUUGUAGCCAAAAUCAUCCUUAAUGGGACAGAGUGUGGGUAAAUUAUCAACCUUGCUAGCCUUGCCUCAUAAUUUUUGAAUUUAUUUUUAUCUUUUAAUUUUGUUUAUUUUUUAUUUUUAAAGUAGAGACAGGAUCUCAUUAUGUUGCUCAGGCUGGUCUCGAAUCCCUGGCCUCAAGGGAUCCUCCUGCCUCAGCCUCCUAAAGUGCUGAGAUUACAGGUAUGAGCCCCUAUGCCAGGCCAUUGCUUUGCCAUUGUAUCCAUGUGAUUGCAAAAAAGAAAAUCGUGCUAAUAGUCAUUAGCUUUGAAAGACACUUGGAAUUUCUUCCUUCAAGCGAGCUUUAUUCCCAAACUGUUGAACCCUCUGGGUUUGACAGCAGGAUCUACUUCACAUGGUAGCAUCUCCUUCUAUUUGCCUUCAAGACAUUUCCUAAGGGAAGAGAUGAAGACACACUUGUAACGUGAACAAAAUAAUCCUUUUUCCUUUUAAAAAUGUAUGAUUAAAAUGUAAAAUAUAUAUAUAUAUUCUUAAAUGUAAAAUAUAUAUAUAUAUCUUCUAGAGUUGCCUGGAAAGUGAGCUGAGAGCAGUUAAACAUCAAACCCACUGCUGCUUUCCAGCUUUAACCAGAAUCACCAUUGUCUUUCCCUAUGAAAGAAAGGAAAUCUUAGAACUUAAAAGGAUUUCAAGAAGAACUGAAUUUUAACCACUGAGAUGACCAGAGAUGUAAGGCUCACACUGACUGAAGCAGUAUAAUUUGGCUGUCUUUUUAACAUUCAGAAUUCUCUCUGACUCUCCAAAAUUGCAUCUACUUUGAUGAGCUUAUUUUUUUCCUCAACCAAAUUACAUUUCUUGGAGUUCACCUGAUACAUCAUGCCUACUUACUUUUUUUUUUAGAUGGAGUCUUGCUCUGUCACCCAGGCUGGAGUGCAGUGGUGCAAUCUCGGCUCAUUGCAACCUCUGCCUCCCAGGUUCAAGUGAUUCUCCUGCCUCAGCCCCCCAAGUAGCUGGGAUUACAGGUGCGUGCCACCACGCCCAGCUAAUUUUUGUAUUUUUAGUAGAGACAGGGUUUCGCCAUGUUGGUCAGGCUGGUCUCGAACUCCUGACCUCAAGUGACCCACCUGCCUUGGCCUCCCAAAGCGCUGGGAUUACAGGGGUAAGCCACCAUGUCCAGCCCUGCCUACUUACUUUGAACAAAUUAUUUCAGGCUAAUUUACUAGCUGGAGAGAAAGAGGGAGGGAAGCAGGGAGGAAGCAAAGAUAGAGGGAGAGAAAGAGAGGGAGACAGAGAGGAAGAGGGAGAGGGAGAGGAGAGAGAGAGAAAGAAUGAAUUGUGUUCUCCCAAAAUUAGUAUGUUGAAGUCUUAAUAUCCCAGUACCUCAGACUAUGACUGUAUCUGUAGAUAGGGCUUUUGAAAAGGUGAUUAUGUUUAAAUGAGGCCAUUGGGGUGGGCCCUAAUCCAGUCCAACUGUUGUCAUUGUAAGAAGAAGAGAUUAGGACACAGAGAUACCAGGCAUGUGCGUGCCCAGACAGACAACUAUGUGAAGAGACAACAAUAGGUCAGCCAUCUGCAAGCUGAGGAGAGAGGCCUCAGAGGAAACCAACCCUGCCGGCACCUUGAUCUUGGAGUUCCAGCCUCCAGAACUUGCUGCUUGAGCAUCCACACAACAUGGCGCUAGCUUCCCCCAGAGGCCGCCUGAAAGCUUGUACAAGUGCCUGAGGAAAGCCGGAUUUGGCAGGCUGCAACCACGGUGGAUGACAGCUGAAGGAGAAUUACAGCAGCAGCAGUUAAGUAGAAGAUGUUCACACUUCCUCGCUCUGCAUCUUUCUUCCUGGAGCCCAACACCUCGGAGGAGAAUGGGAAACCCAGAAGAAGGAGUGGGAAGUAGGGUUGCCACAUAAAAUAUAGGACUCUCAGUUACAUUUGAAUUUCAGAUAAGCAGCAGAUUAUUUCUUAGUAUAAGUAUGUGCCAGUAUGUGUGUAUGUGCACACAUAUGUGCACAUGUAUGCAUGCAUCAGCUAGAUUCUGCAACCAUCAGAGAAAUAGACAAAGGUCCUUUUGACCAGUGGUCAAACUGAGCUAUGAGGAGAAGAUCUUGAAAUUGCAUGUGAUAUUGAAGCUUUAAACUUACUGAGUUGCUUGUGUUAGGCUUUUAAAUACCGUAAUGGGACUAAAAACUAUGUUUCUAAGAGAGAGGAAUAUUUGGGAGUACAGCUGACCCUUGAACAAUGCAAGGCUUAGAGGCAUUGUCAAAAAUCCACAUGUAACUUUUGACUCCACAAACAUUUAACUAUUUUUCUUGUCUUUUUUCUUUUUUUUUUUUUGAGAUGGAGUCUCACUCUGUCUCCCAGGCUGGAGUGCAGUGGGGUGAUCUCAGCUCACUGCAACCUUCACCUCCCAGGUUCAAGCAAUUCUCAAGCCUCAGCCUCCUGAGUAGCUGGGAUUACAGGUGUGCACAAAGAUGCCUGGCUAAUUUUUGUAUUUUCAGUAGAGAUGGGGUUUCACCAUGCUGGCCAGGCUGGUCUUGGACUCCUGACCUCACGUGAUCUGCCCACCUUGGCCUCCCAAAGUGCUGGGAUUACAGGCAUGAGCCACGGCAUCUGCCCAAAAACUGAACUAUUAGUAGCCUACUGUUGACUGGAAGUCUUACUGAUAACAUAGUCAAUUAACACAUGUUUUGUGUUAUAUGUAUUAUAUACUAUAUUCUUACAAUAAAGCAAGCUAGAGAAAAUAGAAUAUUAAGAAAAUCAUAAGGAAAAUAUAUUUAGGAUUCUUUUUUUUUUGAGAUGGAGUCUUGCUGUGUCACCCAGGCUGGAAUGCAGUGGUCAGCCUUCCAACGUGCUGAGAUUACAGGCGUGAGCCACUAUGCCCGGCCAUAUUUACUAUUCAUUAAGUGGAAGCGGAUCAUCAUAGAUGACUUCAUCCUCAUCCUCUUCACACUGAAUAGGGUGAAGAGGAGGAGGAAGAGGAGGGGUUGGUCUCACUGUCUCAAGGGUGGCAGAGGCAGAAGAAAAUCCAGGUAGAAGUGGACCCAAGCAGUUCAAAUCCAUGCUGUUCAGGGGUCAACUGGGUCAACUGUGUAGUUAAAGGUAGUGAGUAGUUGGAGAAAAAUGAAACUGCUUUCGUGUUUAUACCUUCACUGAGUUCAGACCUCGUAAUAAACUGGGUAUCUGUAUGUGUGACAAACAAUAGAGGAGAUGUGUGUGCAGGGUGUUCAAGGGGCUUUUGCAUCUUUGCUGGUGAUCACAAAUAGGGCUUUAAUUCUUGGACUUGAAGAGCUGCAGGAGCCAUUGAAAGGAUACAUGGAGCUAGUUGAAUACCACAUUAUCAUUUAGCAAGUGAUAUUUAGCUCUAUUCCUGUGGAUGAACCCUGAUUAGGAUCUUAAGUUUGUAUGUUGUUGGAGAUUAUUCUUGUUUGUCUUGGAAAUGAACAUUCAUUCAUUCGUUCUGGUGCCUAGCAUAGACAAUAAAUCACAAUUCAAAUAAUGAAAAAUUAUAUAUUUAUUUAUUAAGCAUCUACUGCAUGUAGGUUCUGUGUUAGAUGCACAAAAAUGAAUACCAUAAAAUCCUUUACUAAAACGCCAUUCCUGUCUUUGAGUGGAAAAUGUAGCAGCUACGGGAAUUAAGUUAUAUGGUAGCAUGUGUGGUUACCUACUUGACGGAGACAGAAUCCACAUUAUCAGGUGUGGUCAGAUGAGGGAUUCUCUGCCUGGAGAAGUUGUCAUGGACAAGGUAGGAUUUAAUUUAGGUUGUAAAAGAAUACCAGGAUUUAGGGACUCCUAAAGACAGAGACUGUAUAUCCCUCAUCAGAUCAGCCACUCUUUUCUUUUUUUUUUUUUUUUUUUUUGAGACAGUUUCGCUCUUGUUGCCCAGGCUUGAUUGCAAUGGUGCGAUCUCGGCUCACUGCAACCUCCACCUCCUGGGUUCAAGCGAUUCUCCUGCCUCAGCCUCCCGAGUAACUGGACUACAGGCGCCUGCCACCACACCCAGCUAAUUUUUUGUAUGUUUAGUAGAGGUGGGGUUUCACUAUGUUGGCCAGGCUGGUCUCGAACUCCUGACCUCAGACAAUCCCCCCGCCUCGGCCUCCCAAAGUGCUGGGAUUACAGGCGUGAGCCACUGUGCCCAGCCAACCAGAUCAGCCAUUCUAAGGCCAAGAGUUGCAUUACUCUUUUCUCUGUUUCUUGGAAACAUGACUGGAGGACUUGCUGUAAAAAAUAUUAAGACUUAUUAUGAUAAAGCUAUGGUAAUAACAAGGUGUAGUGUUAGAAUGAACCUGGGCAACAUGGCAAAAUCUUGUCUGUGAAAAAUAUCAAAAAUUAGGUCAGGUGCGGUGGCUCACGCCUGUAAUCCCAGCACUUUGGGAGUCUGAGG
rnacentral:lncRNA from 1 species